CAAAAGCUCAGUCAGUAGAGCAUGAGGCUCUUACUCUCAGGGUUGUGGGAUCAAGCCACACAUCGGUUGAAAGA